GAUGAAGAACGCAGCGAAAUGCGAUAAGUAAUGUGAAUUGCAGAAUUCAGUGAAUCAUCGAAUCUUUGAACGCACAUUGCGCCCGUCAGUAUUCUGGCGGGCAUGCCUGUUCGAGCGUCAUUACGCCCCUCAAGUCCCCUGUGGACUUGGUGUUGGGGAUCGGCGAGGCUGGUUGUCCAGCACAGCCGUCCCUUAAAUUAAUUGGCGGUCUCGCCGUGGCCCUCCUCUGCGCAGUAGUAAAACACUCGCAACAGGAGCCCGGCGCGGUCCACUGCCGUAAAACCCCCCAACUUUUUAUAGUUGACCUCGAAUCAGGUAGGACUACCCGCUGAACUUAAGCAUAUCAAUAAGCGGAGGA
rnacentral:misc_RNA from 1 species